AACAUGCUUUAACUAGCAUGCAUUAAGGCAUCAAGAUAAUUUCAAGCUCAGUUAUGAAGACCUGACCUAAAUCAGGUUUGUUGGUGUUACAAAAUACAUCUGUACUGGACAUACUGUGGUAUUCCAGCUUCAUUUAAGCCAGUGGAAACUGUGACCAUGGAUUUAUCUUUUUGUGAAGGUAAAGAAAAGGGAUGGGUUUGACCUCACUCUUGUUAAACUAAGUCAACUUCUACUGAAGCUUUAAAUACAUUCUAUUAUAUGAGUACAACAACUUUAGCCUCUUAGGGACAAACAGGGCGCUGAUUGGUUUACUGUAUCACGUUAUGGGUUUUAACUAAGAUGGCUGUG